ACUCUCCAAACCAAACUUGGAUGUAACUGUGAAGAAUAAUGUGCCAGGAAGAACUGCCCUGAGAGCAACACUGGGGCCCAUGAAGGACAGCGGACAGAAGACACCUUCUCAGAGGCCAGCACUUCGUCUACCAGAUUGGCUUUCCAAGGAACUCACUGAGCUGCGGGGUGGCUUAUCCUUCCUGUCCGGUAGGAUUUGAUACUUACUGCAGCAAAUCUAUUCUGGAUGUUUCUUGGUGACAACAGAGACACCAAAACAGCCUUAAACUGCUUAUCUAUUUGACUAAUUUUAAAUGAGAAAAAGUGAACACUGUCUUUCUUCAGUCACUAUUAUUUGUUUCUCUUUUAGAUACAGCAGAACUUAAUGCUAAUCAAUGUAAAAUACAAUUAAUAAGAAAAUAUACAAACCAUUAUAAAUUUAGAAGGAAAAUCUAUAACCUAAAAUAUUUAUAUUAGUAAAUCAGAAGAAAUAAAACUUAAGAUUCAACUCAAGAAGUUGGGGGCCAAAAAGAAAUCAAACUUUAGGAAAUCUGAAGAGAAUUAUUAGAAAGAAAAGUAAAUUUUAAUGAAUUAGAAAGGAAAUAAAAGUAACAUUAAUUUUUUAAAAUCCAAAUAAUGGUUUUUUAAAAAAAAAUUUAGGUAAAAGAAUGGCUAACCUUGUCAGGUAAAAAAUUAAAAGAAUAAAUGAAUACACACGGUAAUAAAUUAUAAGAAAUGUUAUAGAUAUGGAAGUAAUUUCAGACAGCUCUUUAAAUACUGAUGUGAAAUUUGAUCAAGAAAUUUUACUAAGUGAAUACUUCAGGUACAAAACAAUUUAUACAACAUGCCACCAUUUGGAUAAUGAAAGCAAAUGAUAGCUAUAUAUAGAUUUGUUUGUAUUUUCUUGUAUUUACAUGAAAUAUCUCAAAUAAUAUAUAAAUAUUCCAACCACAUAAGUUGUCUGUGAGGAAAAGAAUUGGAUAGUAGUGGGGGAAGAGUUUACACUUUUUUAUUUUGAAGUUUAAACCAUGUGAUUAUAUUGCCUGGUCCAGAAUAUUUUUUAAAAAGUAAUAUAGAAAUUCAAAUUUAUAUCUUAAAUGAUUGCCUUUUUUCAAUCGGAGGAUAAUUUCUACUUAACUAGAGGUAAGCACCAUUUGUAACAUCAGGGAAAUGCCCCUCACUGCAUGCCUAGGUUGGGAGGUAUCUGGAGCCAUAUUGUUGGUUAGAGGACAUGCAGCACGUACAAGUUUCCAUUCUGUGAGGUCUCUACAUGUUUAAUGGUUUUCUUGUACACUGUGUUUUCUAAAGCCUUUUUGUUGCAUGAGUAAAAGUUACAUUUACUUUAGAGUUAUUUAAAAAGCAUCACUUUUCAACAAAGUUAACAUUUGUAUAAAUAUAAUUAGCAUAAAAUACUAAAGAUUAUCCACAAACCUAACCAGUUUACAACUCAUUUUUGAGCUUUUUAAAGAGGUUGCAGUGAAAUAUUCACAGGUUUUCCAAAAAAAAA
rnacentral:lncRNA from 1 species